rnacentral:rRNA from 1 species
UACGUAGGGGGCAAGCGUUGUCCGGAAUCAUUGGGCGUAAAGAGCGUGUAGGCGGUUCGGUAAGUCGGCUGUGAAAGUCCAGGGCUCAACCCUGGGAUGCCGGUCGAUACUGCCGGACUAGAGUUCGGAAGAGGGUAGUGGAAUUCCCGGUGUGAGUGGUGAAAUGCGUAGAUAUCGGGAGGAACACCAGUGGCGAAGGCGACUACCUGGCCCAUUCUUGACGCUGAGGCGCGAAAGCUAGGGGAGCGAACGGG